AACAUCGCGCACCUGCGGGAACCUGCGGAGGGAUCAUUACUGAGUCACGUGCUCAAACAACCCUUCUGUGGACCUGAAAUAAAACCGUUGCCUCGGCGGGCGGUCCCCCCCAAACCAACCCCACGUGGCGGGUUAGGGGAGACCAGACAGUCCGGUACGCUUAAGGCGUCCGGCGCCAGCCGCUGGCCCCAAACAAUUAAACUCUAGUAAUCUUUACCUUCUGAGUUUCAAUAUUUAAAA
rnacentral:misc_RNA from 1 species